rnacentral:rRNA from 1 species
GCCAGACUCCUACGGGAGGCAGCAGUGGGGAAUAUUGCACAAUGGGGGAAACCCUGAUGCAGCGACGCCGCGUGAGUGAAGAAGUAUUUCGGUACGUAAAGCUCUAUCAGCAGGGAAGAAAAACCGGCCUUAGGGCCGCCAGACGGUACCUGACUAAGAAGCCCCGGCUCACUACGUGCCAGCAGCCGCGGUAAUACGUAGGGGGCAAGCGUUAUCCGGAUUUACUGGGUGUAAAGGGAGCGUAGACGGCAGCGCAAGUCUGGAGUGAAAUGCCGGGGCCCAACCCCGGAACUGCUUUGGGAACUGUACGGCUGGAGUGCAGGAGAGGUAAGUGGAAUUCCUAGUGUAGCGGUGAAAUGCGUAGAUAUUAGGAGGAACACCAGUGGCGAAGGCGGCUUACUGGACUGUAACUGACGUUGAGGCUCGAAAGCGUGGGGAGCAAACAGGAUUAGAUACCCUAGUAC